UCGAGAAUCUUCCGCAAUGGACGAAAGUCUGACGGAGCGACGCCGCGUGCGGGAUGAAGGCCCUUGGGUUGUAAACCGCUGUCAGAGGGGAUGAAAUCUUCGAAGGUUAUCCUUCGAAGUUGACAGAGCCUCAAAGGAAGCACGGGCUAAGUACGUGCCAGCAGCCGCGGUAACACGUACUGUGCGAACGUUAUUCGGAAUCACUGGGCUUAAAGGGUGCGUAGGCGGCGAUACAAGUCAGGUGUGAAAUGCCGGAGCUCAACUGCGGCAUUGCGCUUGAAACUGUGUUGCUGGAGUAUUUCAGGGGUGUGGGGAACUGCCAGUGGAGCGGUGAAAUGUGUUGAUAUUGGCAGGAACACCGGAGGCGAAAGCGCCACACUGGGGAAUAACUGACGCUGAGGCACGAAAGCCAGGGGAGCGAACGGGAUUAGAUACCCAAGUAGUCCCUGAGCGGGCUGGCAAGGCGCAU
rnacentral:rRNA from 1 species